UCAAAGUGUUGGGAUCACAGGCGUAAACCACCAUGAACAACCUUUGCCAAUUUUUAAUCCUUACUGAUAUUUGCUCUUUAUCCAGACCAAUACAGAGGAGUUCCUCAGAAGGAUCGGUAUAGGUGAAAAUGGAUUAGCAGAUGCUCUUCAAAUCAGUUUUAAUGGUCCUAUCGGAAUUUUGAAAGUCAGAGUAGAAUUUUAAUAACUGGAAACAUGACAAUUCUUUGAUACCUUUGGAGGAAUCUGCUAACAAAGUCUUAAAAAAAUUCUAGCUAAGUGCAAGCAACCUUUUUUCCAUUGGCAAUUAACUCUUAUACAUACCUAAAAUAAAAAUAUAUUGAGUCCUAGCCAUGUUUUAGAUAGUGUGACAUAUCAAAUAUUUGCCAAUUGUCAAGUGGCAGUAACUGAAAUUUUAAUGAAAGAUAUUUACCGGAAGUAAAGUGACAAUAGGUAAUUUUUUAGGUAACAAUUAUAUUGUUUUUGAAAUUCUAGUGAAUAGUCUCAACCUUAACAGAGAUUACUCUGAAUGUCAUCUGAGAUUACUUUUUGAAUGUCAGCCAUUAUAGGUCAAAGUUUCAUAUGCUUUAUGAAUUACAAUUUUAGUACCCAGCCAUGUCAAGCCAUGGAAAGAAUACCAACACAGAUGUGUUAAAUCAGUUCACAAUUUUAAAGCUGUAAAAGAACUGAGUUUGGUUGGUGCAGGGUUCUUCAACCUCGACACUUCUGGCAUUAUGAGUAGGAUAAUCCAUUGCUGUGUGAGUGUGGGAACUGUCUUGUGUAUUUUAGGAUAUUUGUGGCAUCUCUGGCCUAUGCCAAGUAGGUGCUGGUAGCACCUGCACUUGCUCACCAUGUUCCUCGUGGGUUUAGAAGAUAAUCCCAAAUGUUGAAAUCCCAAAAGGCCAAAAUCCCAAUUGCAGGAUAGCUGCAUGUUAGGGCAGCUUUCAUGGACUAUCUCUGUGCAACUGCCCAUAAUCUAUUCCUGUAAUACAUUUUCUCAUUUGCCAAAUUAUUUUUUUCCACUAUCUUAAACUGUCAGACUUUUUUUUAAAAAAAUAAUUCACCAUGCUAUGUAUUUCAUCUUUGCAUCAUGUCCAAUACUGGAAGUGUAAACUGCAGAGACUGAGAGUUCUAAUUUGUCUUAUGCAUUUUUUGCAAAUUUGACUUCAUGAAAGUACAUUAUCAGAACACUGACUUUGUGUGUAAGCACUGUGCAUGUACCUAAAAACGCUGAAACUUCCUCAAUAAAUGAAGAGAUAAGAAAUGUCUUUUGCAUAUCUGCAUUUGUGAAAGAUAAAAAUUUCUUGAGGUUUCAGCCCUUUGGGCAACUGCGUAAGUGAAUAGUGAGUGACCCAUUAUAGUUUUUGAUCUAUCUCAUCAAAAGACUUGUCACAGUAUUUCAGAUGACCAGUUAUAAAGCUAGGUGCACACGACUACCAACCAUCGUGACAUGCUUUUAUACAUUUCCCUUUUUGAUCUACUUCUUCAUGAAUACAGUUCAUCUGCUCAUAACUGUUACAUGCAUGUUGUGACUGUUAGUAUACUUGUGUCUGCAAAAUGUUACUAUUGCCUUUCAUUGCGUGAAAUGACCUACAAAGUGUUGUCAUGUUUUUGUUUCUUAAAUAAAUCCCCCUUUAAAAAUGUAAACAAACAUAUUUUAAAGAAGUAAAAAAAGUACUUUUCCCACAUUUAUUAUUUUCAACAUUUUAGUCUUUUGUGACUGUGAUUUUGAGGAUUUUAGACUUUAGGGAUUUUCAUCUUUCAGGAUUUCAACAUUCAGGAUUCUGUCUCUUGGAAUUAUGAUUGGCUCUUCUCCCUCUCUGCUCAAUGAUGACAACCUAAAAUAUCUCCGCAUUAUCAGAGGUCUUCUCGGGGGUACGAUCAUUCCUAGAUGAGAGUCACUGGGCUAGUCCAAUUCCCCCACCGACAGAUGACCAAACUCAAAUCCAGAAAGUGUGGGACUUACUCAGGGUCAUUUAGCUGUAGGAGAAACUAGCACUAGAACCUAUAACUAGUCAGACUCCUAUUCCAGUAUUCUCAUUUUACCACCCUGAAGUGGAAUAGAAAGGUUACUGCUAGUACUGUGUGAACUGACAUCUUUUAAAGUCUUUUGCACAUAUUUAAAGUCAUUGCAAAAUCAAAAACAAAAACACAUGCUGAGUCUGCCAAAAAGCUUUUUUCCACGACAAGUUGUUUCCAAAUCUUCCUGUGGUCUGGCCAUGUGAGCCAAACUGAAUUGUAGUCUUUUAACUGCUCAGGCUUAUUUAUUAGUGAGAGGCAGGAAAUGUGUUAUAAAAGCAAAAUAAUCCAGGCUGACUGAAGACACUAAAUCUAGUCUUCCAAAACUGCCUUCACUAAGAGAACUUAAUAGUCUCAUCAUUUGGUUGCAAUGACUAAUCCCCAUUUUUAGUGAACAGAAAAAGUGCUUACAAAAAUGUUUUAAGAAAUCUGCAGUAUUUUACUCCUCCGCCAGUUCUCCAAAGUCAAUAGACACAAAGUCAAUUGUGUAAAAUAUUAUGGGAUAACACACAAAAUACAAUAUCUCAUCAUGAAAAAGGAUAAAGAAGAAAUCAGUAUUUUUAUGGGGUUAUAUUUAUAGGUGUCUCUCUUGGAAAAAGGAAUCUAAAUUAUUCUACAAUAUUCUGGCUCCCAUCAUCUUUCACUCUGAAGACAAAAAGCAACAUAAGGCAACACAGCAAACACUAAAAAAUUUGAUACUGAACAUGGCUGAAUGUUUUACUUAGGUCUUCUGCAGUGGGAUCAAGCACUAUCAACUAAAAUCAUUCCCAAAACUGCUUUAAGCCUUAUCUCAUGAUUUGCAACCAGCAGGCUGUUUGCAGACAUAUAGAACUAUUAUAGUAAGAACUCAAACAUCUCUUAGAUUAAGAUGGAUAAGAAAUAGCAUUUUGUGUUAGGGGCAAUGUGUUGGAGAACUGCAAAAGCUCUCCCCAUCCUUGGAGAGUCGACCAAAAUUUAACAUGGCCUCUAGAAGCCUAAGCCCACGUCCAUGAGGGCAAUCCAGCCCUCUUUUGAGCUCCUGUUGGAAAAGCCAGGCUGUCAAAAAAAUUUUUACUGUUUGUUCUAGCCAACACCUAAUAACAGCUCCCUGACUUCCCUUUUAAAAGGCAUUUACUAAAAAGGGCUCACAACUACGAAUCCUCCUCUGUUCCUUUGAGAUGUGUUUGUACCUCUUACAACUCAGGAGUGUCUUUCUCAAGGACCUGAAAGCCAUCGCUCUGAAAUGUAACCAGGAAGGACUGGGCCUGACUCCCAGUCUCUGUGGGAGGAUAGUAUUUUAUCUUAGAUAAUUCCCAGAUAGGAGACACAGCUGGCCUACUUGCGUUUUUACAAUGAUCAGCACUUUGUAAUUUUUCACCUCCCUGACUCUACUUGAGCCCUCUCUUCCCACUCCCUACUCCCUUCAUCUCCCUUUAAAACUCGCAGUCAUCUCGGUGAAAAUAGGAAUGGAGCUCAGUCUUUCCCCUCUGUCAGGAGUUGCGGAAUAAAAUCCUUUUUCAACGCUUUAACGUCCAGCUUCGUGUAUCUCUGACAUUGGUAGGUACAUAUUAAAACUCAGCUGGGCGCGGUAGCUCGCGCCCGUAGUCCCAGCUACUCCGGAGGCUGAGGCAGAAGGAUCGCUUAAGCCCAGGAGCUGGAGGCUGCAGCGAGCUAUGAUCGCGCCACUGCACUCCAGCCUGGGCACAGCGAGACCUCCGUCUCUAAAUUAGAGGAUUAAAAGCACACACACAUAAAACCCCAGAUCACUAUCAAGACGGGCCUAUAAAUCUUAGAAGCUUGUCUUAUAGGGCCAUAUCCUCAAAAGCCUAGGAUAACUCCAAAGUGAUCCCCCCCUAAACCUCAUCCCCUCUUCUCUUCCCCCAAGGGCCCCGCUACUUCCUGCUUUCCCCGAUUCCUAAAUCCACCUCUCCCUAAGCGUCCUACGUCAAAGUCUCUACUUUCCAGGAUGCUGAACUUCACCAAACGGAAGCUUACUCUCUUCCACGUUUGGGCUUUUCUCUAUUUAUCCCUGUCCCCUCAAUUUUCGAGUUUCCUCACCCCACUUCCCUUUCCCUGACGCUCCGGGUCUAGAUUUCCUCCGGGUCUAGAUUUCCUCUUGGUCGCCCCUAGUUUCCCACUCCGACCUCGGCUUCCUCCGCAAGCCGAGCGCCCCUUCCCUCCGCACUCCACUCGGAAGCCCUGGCGUCUCUUUCCGGGGGC
rnacentral:lncRNA from 10 species